rnacentral:rRNA from 1 species
AUGCACGCUGGCGGCGUGCCUAACACAUGCAAGUCGAACGGAGUCCAGCCUUUAAGACCUUCGGGUCAAAGAGGGGAAGACUGAGUGGCGGACGGGUGAGUAACACGUGGGCAACCUGGCUCAUAGAGGGGGAUAACAGAGAGAAAUUUCUGCUAAUACCGCAUAAGCACACACUGCCGCAUGGCAGAGGGUGAAAAGAGAAUCGCUAUGAGAUGGACCCGCGUCUGAUUAGCCAGUUGGCAGGGUAAGAGCCUACCAAAGCGACGAUCAGUAGCCGAUCUGAGAGGAUGAACGGCCACAUUGGGACUGAGACACGGCCCAAACUCCUACGGGAGGCAGCAGUGGGGGAUAUUGCACAAUGGGGGGAACCCUGAUGCAGCGACGCCGCGUGAGUGAAGAAGUAUUUCGGUAUGUAAAGCUCUAUCAGCAGGGAAGAUAAUGACAGUACCUGAAUAAGAAGCCCCGGCUAACUACGUG